GUGGGGAAUAUUGGACAAUGGGCGCAAGCCUGAUCCAGCCAUGCCGCGUGAGUGAUGAAGGCCUUAGGGUUGUAAAGCUCUUUCAGUGGGGACGAUAAUGACGGUACCCACAGAAGAAGCCCCGGCUAACUUCGUGCCAGCAGCCGCGGUAAUACGAAGGGGGCUAGCGUUGUUCGGAUUUACUGGGCGUAAAGCGCACGUAGGCGGAUCGUUAAGUCGGGGGUGAAAUCCUGGAGCUCAACUCCAGAACUGCCUUCGAUACUGGCGAUCUUGAGUCCGGAAGAGGUGGGUGGAACUCCUAGUGUAGAGGUGGAAUUCGUAGAUAUUAGGAAGAACACCAGUGGCGAAGGCGGCUCACUGGUCCGGUACUGACGCUGAGGUGCGAAAGCGUGGGGAGCAAACAGGAUUAGAAACCCGAGUAGUCC
rnacentral:rRNA from 1 species